rnacentral:rRNA from 1 species
UACGGAGGUGCGAGCGUUAUCCGGAUUCACUGGGUUUAAAGGGUGCGUAGGUGGGAAUGUAAGUCAGUGGUGAAAUCUCCGUGCUUAACACGGAAACUGCCAUUGAUACUAUGUUUCUUGAAUUUUCUGGAGGUUAGCGGAAUAUGUCAUGUAGCGGUGAAAUGCUUAGAUAUGACAUAGAACACCGAUUGCGAAGGCAGCUAACUACAGGGAUAUUGACACUGAGGCACGAAAGCGUGGGGAUCAAACAGG